rnacentral:tRNA from 1 species
GGAGAGAUGGCUGAGUGGCCGAAAGCACCUGACUUGAAAUCAGGCGACGGGCAACCGUCCUAGGGUUCGAAUCCCUAUCUCUCCGCCA